CCAGCCAACCUCACUCGUGCUGUUAGCUUUCCCUACUUGUCCAGCUCACUGUAACUCCCUGCUUUCUGAAGUCCUACUCAAGACGACCCAGACAAAGGGCUUGUGUUGUGUCUAUGGCCUCCCCUUCUCCCACACGAGAGCCUGGAGGACCCACGCUUCUAUAUUCCUAACCAAGACAUGGUCCAGAGAGCAAGCCUUUGGGUGUGAGCUGCUGACAGUAACCCCCAAAGAGAAGAGUCCUACGCAAACCAAAUCCAGAGACACUAAAGGAGAUUUCCUUUUUCGAGGAUAAGUUCUAAAACCUCUGUUCUGGUCCUGCUCGGGACGGGCUACUCCCAUGGUGGGACAUGGGCCGCCACAGAGGACCUCAACCUGUCCCGGCCACUGACCAUCCUGUCUGCGUAUUAAAUGAGGUUUGUUAGUUCGGGAUUUUCUUCUGCCCACUGUGCGGUACACAAGUAUUACCCUGAGUCUUGGGCUGUUGACCAGGGAGGUAAAAAGUCGUCACGUGUGAUUAGCUUUUCUAAGCCCAGUGAACUCCCUGACAUCACCUGCUUGAGAAAGCAGUAGCCUCCUUCUGGGAGGAGAGAGCCCCCUCUAAGGAGCUGGAAGCCUUCAGACAUUCCUACUUGGUUUCUCUUCCCAGCUGGGCGGGGGUGUAGGGAUGAGUAUUUACCUUCCCAUCUCAUGGAGGCCCAGAGAGCUUCAGAGAUGGGUAUUAAGUUACAUAACAAGACACUGGCAUAAGUCCCUUAAGGGAAUGAUCCUCUGACUCUCUCCUGGUGCUCUUUCUACAAAACAGUGCGGCAAACAUCCCAGGAAGAGGAGACAGCAUAGACUGUGGGUGAUGGCAAGGGUGGUGUUCUGGCCCAGACAACCCUGCGGACCUCCUUAUGAACCAUCUGUUUUGGGGUCAUGUGAUGGGGCAAGGGGUUGCUGGGGUACCCCUCCCUAGCCCCUCCCAUACAGUUUCACAUGGUUCUCUCUGGGGGAAACAGCCCAACGCUAAUGAACAGAUCACUGGCGAUGCAGACGAUCAAAGCUGUUGUCUUGGUUGCAUAACUCGUUUGUGGAAAGUGUUUCAUAAACAUUUCACAAGAAGGAGAAUUUCAAAGCGUGAACAUCUCCCAACCUGCCUUCAAUUACAGGCAAGACUUUUUUUUUUUUUCUUUCUCCCCCCUUCUACACUUCUCCCGAGCAGUAAGGAAGAGUUUCUGUUUUGUAACUGAUGUAUAAAGGGUUGGCAGCGAACACGUUGCUCAUGAAAAUAUCCUAAGAAUAUAUUUCAAGUGGUGGAAGGAGGCAGGCAGGUAACUCGUCUCUGUGAACAAGGCUGAGAUUCCCCCAGGAGAUGUUGGCUGUAUCUUCGCUUGGGAGACUCUCCUCUUUCCAUAGUUCUUGGUUGUUCCCUGGGAGUCCAAGACUUCUGCCUCUUCAGAGGCCUCUGGGAAGUGCCUGGGGAGAUGGCCUCACCCAUUCCCUGGUCUCUAGUCAGACCUACGACAGACCCGCCUAGAUGCCCCUUUGCCCAUAGACACUGGGAUGGUCUUCCUGACCGCAUCAAACCUCUAGACAAAGGCGGAGAAGAGACGGGGACCCUUGAAUAAGCUAAUAGCUUCUUAGGAAGCCCGGGCCAUUUGGAGUUGCCACCUCCUGGAAAGAAACUUUUCAAAGACACAUCCUUGUUUUCCUGGCUUGC